GACGAACGCUGGCGGCGUGCUUAACACAUGCAAGUCGAACGGAAAGGCCUGCUUUCCCUUGUGGAUUGCGGGUACUCGAGUGGCGAACGGGUGAGUAACACGUGAGUGAUCUGCCCCCAACUUGGGUAUAAGCCUGGGAAACUGGGUCUAAUUCCCGAUAGGACUGCAGGGUGGUGCCUGUGGUGGAAAACGAUUUUCUAGUGGUUGGGGAUGAGCUCGCGGCCUAUCAGCUUGUUGGUGGGGUAAUGGCCUACCAAGGCGGCGACGGGUAGCCGGCCUGGGAGGGUGGACGGCCACAUUGGGACUGAGAUACGGCCCAGACUCCUACGGGAGGCAGCAGUGGGGAAUAUUGCACAAGGGGCGGAAGCCUGAUGCAGCGACGCCGCGUGGGGGAUGACGGCCUUCGGGUUGUAAACUCCUUUCGACCGCGAGGAAGCCACCUGGUUGGAAGGGUGGUGACGGUAGUGGUAGAAGAAGCACCGGCUAACUACGUG
rnacentral:rRNA from 1 species